GGGAUAUUGCACAAUGGGCGCAAGCCUGAUGCAGCAACGCCGCGUGCAGGAAGAAGGGCUUCGGCUCGUAAACUGCUUUUCUGCGGGACGAUAAUGACGGUACCGCAGGAAGAAGUCUCGCAUAACUACGUUCCAGCAGCCGCGGUAAAACGUAGGAGGAAAGCGUUAUCCGGAUUUACUGGGCGUAAAGGGCGUGCAGGUGGUUUGUUAAGUGGUGCGUGAAAGCGCUCGGCUCAACCGGGCGAGGGCGUGCCAAACUGACAGACUAGAAACAGGCAGAGGAAAGUGGAAUUCGGGGUGUAGUGGUGAAAUGCGUAGAGAUCCCGAGGAACUCCAGUGGCGAAGGCGACUUUCUGGGCCUGCUUUGACACUCAGACGCGAAAGCAUGGGGAGCGAAC
rnacentral:rRNA from 1 species